rnacentral:rRNA from 1 species
GGGUUGUGAGGUUAAGCGACUAAGCGUACACGGUGGAUGCCCUGGCAGUCAGAGGCGAUGAAGGACGUGCUAAUCUGCGAAAAGCGUCGGUAAGGUGAUAUGAACCGUUACAGCCGGCGAUGUCCGAAUGGGGAAACCCAGUGUGAUUCGUCACACUAUCGUUAACUGAAUACAUAGGUUAACGAGGCGAACCGGGGGAACUGAAACAUCUAAGUACCCCGAGGAAAAGAAAUCAACCGAGAUUCCCCAGUAGCGGCGAGCGAACGGGGAGCAGCCCAGAGUCUGAAUCAGCUUGUGUGUUAGUGGAACGGUCUGGAAAGUCCGACGGUACAGGGUGAUAGUCCCGUACACCAAAAUGCACAGGCUGUGAACUCGAAGAGUAGGGCGGGACACGUGGUAUCCUGUCUGAAUAUGGGGGGACCAUCCUCCAAGGCUAAAUACUCCUGACUGACCGAUAGUGAACCAGUACCGUGAGGGAAAGGCGAAAAGAACCCCGGCGAGGGGAGUGAAAAAGAACCUGAAACCGUGUACGUACAAGCAGUGGGAGCACCUUCGGGUGUGACUGCGUACCUUUUGUAUAAUGGGUCAGCGACUUAUAUUCUGUAGCAAGGUUAACCGUAUAGGGGAGCCGCAGGGAAACCGAGUCUUAACUGGGCGUUAAGUUGCAGGGUAUAGACCCGAAACCCGGUGAUCUAGCCAUGGGCAGGUUGAAGGUUGGGUAACACUAACUGGAGGACCGAACCGACUAAUGUUGAAAAAUUAGCGGAUGACUUGUGGCUGGGGGUGAAAGGCCAAUCAAACCGGGAGAUAGCUGGUUCUCCCCGAAAGCUAUUUAGGUAGCGCCUCGUGAAUUCAUCUUCGGGGGUAGAGCACUGUUUCGGCUAGGGGGUCAUCCCGACUUACCAACCCGAUGCAAACUACGAAUACCGAAGAAUGUUAUCACGGGAGACACACGGCGGGUGCUAACGUCCGUCGUGAAGAGGGAAACAACCCAGACCGCCAGCUAAGGUCCCAAAGUCACAGUUAAGUGGGAAACGAUGUGGGAAGGCACAGACAGCCAGGAUGUUGGCUUAGAAGCAGCCAUCAUUUAAAGAAAGCGUAAUAGCUCACUGGUCGAGUCGGCCUGCGCGGAAGAUGUAACGGGGCUAAACUGUGCACCGAAGCUGCGGCAGCGACACUAUGUGUUGUUGGGUAGGGGAGCGUUCUGUAAGCCUGCGAAGGUGGCCUGUGAGGGUUGCUGGAGGUAUCAGAAGUGCGAAUGCUGACAUAAGUAACGAUAAUGCGGGUGAAAAGCCCGCACGCCGGAAGACCAAGGGUUCCUGUCCAACGUUAAUCGGGGCAGGGUGAGUCGACCCCUAAGGCGAGGCCGAAAGGCGUAGUCGAUGGGAAACAGGUUAAUAUUCCUGUACUUGGUGUUACUGCGAAGGGGGGACGGAGAAGGCUAUGUUAGCCGGGCGACGGUUGUCCCGGUUUAAGCAUGUAGGCGGAGGUUCCAGGUAAAUCCGGUACCUUUUUAACGCUGAGGUGUGAUGACGAGGCACUACGGUGCUGAAGUAACAAAUGCCCUGCUUCCAGGAAAAGCCUCUAAGCAUCAGGUAACAUUAAAUCGUACCCCAAACCGACACAGGUGGUCAGGUAGAGAAUACCAAGGCGCUUGAGAGAACUCGGGUGAAGGAACUAGGCAAAAUGGUGCCGUAACUUCGGGAGAAGGCACGCUGAUAUGUAGGUGAAGCCCCUGCGGGUGGAGCUGAAAUCAGUCGAAGAUACCAGCUGGCUGCAACUGUUUAUUAAAAACACAGCACUGUGCAAACACGAAAGUGGACGUAUACGGUGUGACGCCUGCCCGGUGCCGGAAGGUUAAUUGAUGGGGUUAUCCGUAAGGAGAAGCUCUUGAUCGAAGCCCCGGUAAACGGCGGCCGUAACUAUAACGGUCCUAAGGUAGCGAAAUUCCUUGUCGGGUAAGUUCCGACCUGCACGAAUGGCGUAAUGAUGGCCAGGCUGUCUCCACCCGAGACUCAGUGAAAUUGAACUCGCUGUGAAGAUGCAGUGUACCCGCGGCAAGACGGAAAGACCCCGUGAACCUUUACUAUAGCUUGACACUGAACAUUGAGCCUUGAUGUGUAGGAUAGGUGGGAGGCUUUGAAGCGUGGACGCCAGUCUGCGUGGAGCCAACCUUGAAAUACCACCCUUUAAUGUUUGAUGUUCUAACGUUGGCCCUUAUCGGGGUUGCGGACAGUGUCUGGUGGGUAGUUUGACUGGGGCGGUCUCCUCCCAAAGAGUAACGGAGGAGCACGAAGGUUAGCUAAUCCUGGUCGGACAUCAGGAGGUUAGUGCAAUGGCAUAAGCUAGCUUGACUGCGAGCGUGACGGCGCGAGCAGGUGCGAAAGCAGGUCAUAGUGAUCCGGUGGUUCUGAAUGGAAGGGCCAUCGCUCAACGGAUAAAAGGUACUCCGGGGAUAACAGGCUGAUACCGCCCAAGAGUUCAUAUCGACGGCGGUGUUUGGCACCUCGAUGUCGGCUCAUCACAUCCUGGGGCUGAAGUAGGUCCCAAGGGUAUGGCUGUUCGCCAUUUAAAGUGGUACGCGAGCUGGGUUUAGAACGUCGUGAGACAGUUCGGUCCCUAUCUGCCGUGGGCGCUGGAGAAUUGAGGGGGGCUGCUCCUAGUACGAGAGGACCGGAGUGGACGCAUCACUGGUGUUCGGGUUGUCAUGCCAAUGGCAUUGCCCGGUAGCUAAAUGCGGAAGAGAUAAGUGCUGAAAGCAUCUAAGCACGAAACUUGCCCCGAGAUGAGUUCUCCCUGACUCCUUGAGAGUCCUGAAGGAACGUUAAAGACGAUGACGUUGAUAGGUCGGGUGUGUAAGCGUAGCGAUACGUUGAGCUAACCGAUACUAAUGAACCGUGAGGCUUAACCUUACAACGCCGAAGGUGUUU